rnacentral:snRNA from 1 species
GGGCAAUUUGCCUGUGACAUCUGUUACCCCACUGAUUGCCAGGGUUGAUUCAGCUGGCUGGCUCCGUGUGUGUCCCCUCCUGAAGCUCACACUCAGCUGAAGAGGGCCACCAUCCCCAAUAGAGGAGGACCAGUCUCAGUCAAGCGUAUAUGAAUAGCUAAGCUUCUCUGAUAGAAUCUCCAAACAAGCUCUCAAUAAAGUAGAGUGUCAUUACAGAGCAAUUUCAUCUGGUCUAGUUUUUAGUACUCUUCCUGGAUUACU